rnacentral:rRNA from 1 species
UGGGGAAUUUUGGACAAUGGGGGAAACCCUGAUCCAGCCAUCCCGCGUGUGCGAUGAAGGCCUUCGGGUUGUAAAGCACUUUUGGCAGGAAAGAAACGUCGCGGGUUAAUACCCCGCGAAACUGACGGUACCUGCAGAAUAAGCACCGGCUAACUACGUGCCAGCAGCCGCGGUAAUACGUAGGGUGCAAGCGUUAAUCGGAAUUACUGGGCGUAAAGCUGCGCAGGCGGUUCGGAAAGAAAGAUGUGAAAUCCCAGAGCUUAACUUUGGAACUGCAUUUUUAACUACCGGGCUAGAGUGUGUCAGAGGGAGGUGGAAUUCCNCGUGUAGCAGUGAAAUGCGUAGAUAUGCGGAGGAACACCGAUGGCGAAGGCAGCCUCCUGGGAUAACACUGACGCUCAUGCACGAAAGCGUGGGGAGCAAACAGGAUUAGAUACCCUGGUAGUCCACGCCCUAAACGAUGUCAACUAGCUGUUGGGGCCUUCGGGCCUUGGUAGCGCAGCUAACGCGUGAAGUUGACCGCCUGGGGAGUACGGUC